rnacentral:lncRNA from 1 species
AUGCUCUGAUAACUCUGCUCCAGGAGGCAACGCUCUCAUGAGAGAGAGAGAGAGAGAGAGAGAAAGAGAGAGAGAGAGGAGACAGGAUUGGGGGCACUUCAGAGAAAAGAUCCAAGAGAAAAGUCUGGGACUCUGCCACCCAGCUCCCCGGCCCUGGGAGGGUCCAUGGCAGAUGUUUGGAAUGAGGCAGCUUGAUGGUCCCCCAGGGGCAUUCUUAUAAAGUCAGCUCUGGUAAGUGAUAUUCUUGAUACUUGAUGUGUUGCCAGAAGUUAGAAUAUUGCUUUUCUCUUACAUCUACACAUGCUGCUUGGAAGCCACUGGGUUUCUAUUUAGCGUUAUAGAUAUCCCAGCAAUGAUUUUCAGACAUCAUGUAACAUGUAGUAUCAAUCCAGGCAUAUGUAGAUAUUUGGGCUUAAGGAGGCAGUGGAGUAUCAUAAAGAAAAAGAAAGCAUUGCAUCAGGAAUCAGGAGGCCUAGGGCCCAACGGUAUUUUCGGUUCUGUUUGACUUUAGCAAAAGUGCCUAGCUUUGUUGAGGCACUGUGGUCUCUUCGUGGUGAGAGCCAUGCCCCCUUCCCCACCCCCUUCAUUGCUGCUGUCUUCAUAAAUCCCAGAGGGAAAUGAUACUCGGCCUAUUUCAGAGUUGCAAGGCUCACAACCUCCUGGUCAGGAUUUUAGACUCCAAUCCAUGUAAAAGAUCCUGGUCUUUUAACAGAACUAGAAAUGUCCUCAAUUGAGAAUCCGGUUAUAGAAUUAAAAAAAAAAAUAAAUAAAUUGGAAAGCAAUCUGUAAUUUGCAGUAAGAAAAGACUUGUAAAAUGAAUCAAAUUGCAUGAGUCCAAAAUGAAUAAGAAUGCCGAUUGCUGACUAUGAAUAUCUGAAUAGUGCUACUUUCUAAUUGCUUCACUUGCAUCAGAGAGAAAUAAAAUUGUGAGAGUGUGAAGUGUAUAAAGGAUUCUACCGCUCUCUCGGGGCUCAGAGACCCACAGAUUGGAGAAAGUAAGUGAGUGCCUUUCUGACCAUUGAAUUCCUCACUCAUUGCAAGUUAGAAAGCUCUAAGGAGGACUUUAAUGAAAUG